UUGGACUUUGUAUAUGGAACUGAUUUGCAACAAAGCUGAGAAAUAUAUUGUGCUUUUUGAAUAUUUCCCUUUGCUCUACCUAUUGUAUUGAGUUUGAAUUGAUUGUAUUUAUCUGAUCUGAUCCAAUAGCAUGCAAAACAAAGCUUCGGUACAUGUGGCAAUAAUAAACCUAAAAAUGAUCAUGAGGGACCUAGAUAAGGUGGAUGUUCCUUUUCACAGGGUAGAGGAAUCUGAAACUAGAAAGCACAGAUUUAAAGUGAAAGGGGAAUGGCUUAAAAAGGAACUGAGCAGCAAUUUAAUCUAUUGAGAAGUGAUGGGUAUAUGGAACAAGUAGCCAGUGAAAGCUGUAGUGGGGAAAAUUAAGAUGUUGAAAAGACAUGUACAGCAUCUACUUGAGGCAUGGCCUCAAGAUGUAGGCAUUCAACAAAAAGAGUCCACACCAUCCAAGUCAUCCCCUCUUCUCACUGUACAGAAGCGUGAAGUUGCACACCACCAGUUUCAGGAACAGCUACUUUCCUGCAACUAUCGGACUGACCUAAACAUCCCUAAUCCUACCUGAGCAAUGGAACACCACAGACUGCCAUACACUUGUUUUCGGUUGCAUUUUAGCACUAAUGUUCUUUGCAGUUUUUUUCUUUUCACUGUUUUGUGUAAUUUACGUAUAAUUUAUGUUUUUGUGCAUUGUCAGUCUGUGGGCCUGUGAUGCUGCUGCAAGAUUUUCAUUAUAUUUGUAGCUCAUCAUAUUUGUGUGUAUGAUAAUGAAGUUAAUGAGUUGAUGGAUGCAAAUGGUUUAACGGAUAUUGGCCAAAUGCAUGCAAAUAUGACUAGCUCAGCUUGACAUUUUGCAUGGACAAGUUAGGCUUCAGCGUCUGUUUCCAUGGUGUAUAACUCUUUGACUCCGAUUCAAAUGAACAUGGAAGCAAAAUCUGCUCAAAAGAAAGUAUCGAAUUAUUUCAUUACCCUGAGAUAUCCGAGGAGGCAAUCUGAAUGCAAAUACAACACAUUUUAAUAAUGCGUUGAUUUGCAAAUAAUGGAGAUGUUGCACGAUGCCUCAAUUGGGAUUUAGGAAUGUUUUUAUACUAAAGAGAAACACAAAGAUCACAACAAUUUGGUUAAUUUAGGUGGGAAACAGUUAGUGAAGAACGAAAGCAGAUGUGGCUCAUUGGAAUGGAGGGACGGGAAGCUCAUCUGCAAACAAAAAUGUCAUGUUUCUUUCCAAUUAACAUUCACAACUUUGACUCAUCAAAGGACUGUAGGUAGACAGCCUCCUUCUCCUCUCUGACUUUAAUCCAAACCUCUACAUACUCUGCACUCCCAGGGACAACACAGACGGCUGUGCAUUCAUUACAUUGCAAAAUAUCAGUGUUAUCCAGAAAGUUAAAUUACCUUUUUUUUCCCCAGUUGCAUCCAUAACCCUGAGAUUAAAGACUUUAAAAAUGACACGUAGUCAUGAACAGUGAAUGGAACUGGCAAGUAGAUUGAUCAAGGACUCAAAUCCUGCCUCAUUGUUCUGCUCAGUAAAGACACAGCUCGCUGUAUAGAGUGAAACCAAUUCAACAGUGGGCAUAUGUUAAAAUCAGGAGAAUAUAAUAAAUCCCUAUAACUUCAAACAGAAAUACAAAUCAGAAAUAGCUUUUUUCUAAAGAAUGCGCAUUUGCUGGAGAGAGUGCAAAGGAAAUUCAUCAGGAUGUUUCAUGUAUUGGUGAACUUUGUUUACGGGGAGAGAUUGGAGAGACUGGCUUGUUUUCCUUGGAGCAAAGAAGGCAUAGUUUGAGAAGAUGCCCUUUUAAACUUCUUCCUGCUAAAUGCAUUUCGUUGUCUCUGUACUGUACACUGACAAUGACAAUUAAAAUUGAAUCUGAAUCUGAA